GCUGGUGGUGCAGUGGUUAAGCACUCAGCUGGGAACUGAAAGGUUGGUGGUUCAAACCCACUCAAUGGCU
rnacentral:tRNA from 1 species